rnacentral:rRNA from 1 species
UACGAAGGGGGCUAGCGUUGCUCGGAAUCACUGGGCGUAAAGCGCACGUAGGCGGAUUGUUAAGUCAGGGGUGAAAUCCUGGAGCUCAACUCCAGAACUGCCUUUGAUACUGGCGAUCUUGAGUCCGGGAGAGGUGAGUGGAACUCCGAGUGUAGAGGUGAAAUUCGUAGAUAUUCGGAAGAACACCAGUGGCGAAGGCGGCUCACUGGCCCGGUACUGACGCUGAUGUGCGAAAGCGUGGGGAGCAAGCAGG